rnacentral:rRNA from 1 species
GACGAACGCUGGCGGCGUGCUUUAGGCAUGCAAGUCGAACGCGAAAGCCCCUUCAGGGGUGAGUAGAGUGGCGAACGGGUGAGUAACACGUGGGUAACCUGCCCCUCGCAGGGGGAUAACCGGGGGAAACCCCGGCUAAUACCCCGUACGCUUGCUGGGGCGCAUGCUCCGGCAAGGAAAGGUAGCUUCGGCCAUCCGGCGAGGGAGGGGCCCGCGGCCCAUUAGCUAGUUGGUGGGGUAACGGCCCACCAAGGCGACGAUGGGUAGCGGGCCUGAGAGGGGGGUCAGCCACACUGGGACUGAGACACGGCCCAGACUCCUACGGGAGGCAGCAGCCAGGAAUCUUGCGCAAUGGGCGAAAGCCUGACGCAGCAACGCCGCGUGGGCGAUGAAGGCCUUCGGGUCGUAAAGCCCUGUUGUCGGGGACGAAGGGCGAAGGGUUAAUAGCCCCUAGCCUGACGGUACCCGACGAGGAAGCCCCGGCUAACUACGUG